rnacentral:lncRNA from 1 species
ACUCUUCCUGGGUUGAUAGUUUAACACUUAAUCGUCCUUAAGCAUCAAGUGUCAAAGGGAUGAAUUAUAUGGUAACUAUAUCCACAUGGGUUCUAGAGUGUUGCUGGACAUACAUUCGGUCUAUUUGACAUCAGAUCCCAUUGCUACAUGGUUACAUUGAUUAGUACAAGAAUUAUUCUUAUAUUACCGACUUAGGUUUGAACUUAUAGGGUUACACGCAUAGAAGUACUUGUCUGAUCAAAUGGCUGAUCAACGAUUAUGAAUCGUUGAAGGGUUUAAUUAUCAAUGAGAUUGAUGAUUAAUCCUAUGCAAAGAUUGUAAUAAAUUAUUUACUAAUGAUUGAUAAAUUAGAAGAAUAAUUAAUUAAUAAUAUGAUUAUUAAUUGGCUCAAUUUAAUUGAGCAAUGGGGAUUAGAUUAGAUCUAAUUGAAUUGGAUUCAAUUAGAUUGGCUUUGGAUUGAUUGGAUGCAUCCUUAUUGAAUAACAGAGCUUGUUCCAAUUGGUCUCAGUGAUGCAAAUCAAAUUUUAAAUUGAAUAUGAUUCAAUUAGUUUUAUAUAGAUUUGGAUUGGAUCAAGUCCUAUUAUCAAAAACUUUCCUAAUAUCCAUCGAAAAUCAAUCUCUGGAUCAAUGAGAUUUUAAUCUAACUAAUUCUCCAAUUGGAUUGGGGCCUAAUUGAAUUCAUAAUUGGACAAGGACCUAAUUAGUUAGUUUGUUAUAACUAAUUUCUAAAUUGGUUAGGAUUUGGUCCAAGGAUUAGUUAGAGUUGGAAUAAGAUCUUGAAUCCUAUUUAGAAUAGGACUUAACCAACUUGAAACACCCCAUGUGAUCUAAAUCCUCCAUGCCACACCUUUACCAUGAGAAAUCUCCACGCCCCAAAAAGAUGCUGCACCUCCUUAUGUCUUCCAUGAGAAAUAAGGGGCAUCUUCUCUCUUUUGUUGUCGCCUAAAAAAACAACAAAAAGGGAGAAGGGGGCGUCCAACUCGGCAUCCAAGAGUUGGACGCCCCAUAUCCCAUAUGUCUUGGCUCUCCUCUUCCUCUCCUUUUUUGAAGAAAUUUUGGGAGACUCCCUUGCUAGCUUUUGGGCAUCAAAGAGAGGCUCCUCUAUUGGUUAUACAGCAAAAAAAUUAGAAAGAAAAAGUUCUUCUCAAAGAGAGAAAGAGAAGGAAGAAGAUGUGUCUUCUUUCUUGUGCGUAGCCUCGAAGAAGAAUGAGUUCUUCUUCUAAAUUUUUUUUUAAUUUUAUCUAGAAUAAAAAUUAGAUUAGAUCUGAUUUUUAACAUAAAGAUUUAGAAAAAAAAUAUUAAAAAAAAUUGGUUGGGUGUUUGGGGCUUCCUAGAGUUUUAGAUCAAAGAGAAAAAGGGAGAAGAAGAGAGAAGAACGGUUCUUCUCUUGGAUCUCUCUUUUGGAUUCUUCUAGGGCUCAGGAUCUCAUAUGAUAUUUAGCAUAAAACAUUAGAUUAGAUCUAAUUUUUAUCAUAAAAAAUUAGAGAAGAAAAGUUCUUCUCAAAGGUGUGAAAAGAAGAGAGAAAGGUUCUCUCUUAUGCAUAGAAUAUUGAGAAGAAAGGGUUAUUCUCUUGAUCUCUAUUGUAGAGAUCUGAUGUGUGGAUCUAGAAAGAAAAGAAGAGGAUCUCCUUAUUCUUCAUCUUCUUCAUAUUUCUCUUAGAUCAGCCAAAGCAUGGUGCCUUCGCAAGCUAGCACUCUCGAAGAGAUCGAUAAGCAUAAUGGCUUCGUGUGGAUAGCCGUAGAGGCCGGACACGUGUGUGGCUGUCGAGCAUCAUAGAGAAAUAACUACUAUAAAUUUUGAAUGCGGU